AAUAUUGGCAAUCAGUGGGAGCUUGAUCCAACCAUGCGGCGUGCAGGAAGAGGGCCCUAUGGGUUGUAAACUGCUUUUUCAGGGGAAGAACUCCCCUUACGUGUGAGGAGAUGGCGGUACUUUAUGAAUAAGGAUCGGCUAACUUCGUGCCCGCCGGCGCGGUAAUUCGGAGGGUGCCAGCGUUUUCUGGAAUCAUUUGGUUUAAAGGGUCGGUAGGGGGGUUAAUUAAUCAGUGAGGAAAGUCUGCAGGUUAACUGUAGAAAUUCCAUUGAUACUGUUGUCCUUGAAUUAUUAUGAAGGGGGUAGAAUGUGUAGGGUAGGGGGGAAAUGCAUAGAUAUUACACAGAAUACCGAUUGGGAAGGCAGAUCUCUUAUAACAUAUUGACGGUGAUGGAGGGAAGGGUUGGGAGGGAACCAGGAUUGAUUACCCUGUUAGUCCCGCC
rnacentral:rRNA from 1 species